CGGCGCUGCCGGCGGGCAUCCCGGGGCACUUUCACUGACCCCCUGCGGCGGGACCAGGAGCAAUCGCACCACCCAAAAGCAGAAAACACCUGCACGGGCUGUCCGCCCCUCUCCCCGACCGGGGUCCUGAGCCGGCCGGCUGCCCUCAGGGUUCUGGAAAGAGGUGCAUGAGACGUCCCAGUGAGCCCCGGUUAUGGAAUUGGAAACCAUCAUUUCCGUAGGCGUACAGGUACAUAUAUGAAGCCAGCAACGAUCUGAAGCCCAGCAGGAGAAAAACAACGUGUAAAGACACCAUGGAUAAUCACAAGGUCUUCUGUGGCUUCAUCAUCUUUCUUCAGAUCGCCGACUUAUCGCGGGAGUCCGCCUACAAUUUCAGCCUCUGUAACCACGACGAGAUACGGGAGGAUCUCCUAAACGUUUUGGAUGCGCACAUGACCUUAAACGAGGGGCUACAGCUCGAUUUUCACACCUGCGAGGACGCGCCCGAGGGGCCGGAGCAGUCCGAGGUUCGCCAGGGUGAACGCAGCCCCCCGACGGCUAGGUGGCAUUCCCUUUCCGUGAAA
rnacentral:lncRNA from 1 species